CUAUCGAUAACUUUGAUAUUUUUUCAAAAUGCAACUACGGUCACAUCGCCACGUGCAUUCUUUCAUUUCAAUUUUUCAUUCAAAAUGGCUAGUCGAGUUUCUCCUCUUAAUAAUCAACUAAAAUUUAAUAAAAGUAAUGCCACGCGGUAGCAGCAACCAUCUGCAUUAUAAUGAAAUGGAAAAUUCAAUUUUUGAUAUGUGUUUCGCCAGAUAUAUCGCACGUGUUGAAAAGUAAGAGGUAGUAAUGGUUUUGGAGCGUCGACUUUUUGAGUAUGGAUCUCCGCCUAAGUUUGACGGUAACAAUAGAAACUCAGCAAUCAUUACUAAACUCUGGAGACAACAUAAAUAUCAGGGAUCAUACAGCGAUCGAUGGUUAAUCAGGACACAUAAUACAGUGAAAAUCAGACUGUUUUUGCUCCCAACUGAAGCAAAUUAGGAAAUUUACGAAUCUUGGCUUAGGUUGAGGGAAAUGAGAAAUGCUGAGAACAUCUGGGCAAAAAAAAGAAAGUUAUACUAAAAUUCCACAUUGAGCUCUGGCGAAAAAAUGCAAAAGUAACUUGGAUCUUGGCAUUGGUCUGGACGAAUAUCUAUUCAAAUGUCUGCUAAAUUUUUUAGUAUGAUUAAACUGAAAUAUGUACCUACAAUACACUCCAAAUAUCGAUGCCAAAUGUUGUCCUGAUAAAAAAUUUAAAAACUACUCAAAAGAAUCGCUAACUUAAAGAGGCUCUUAUCAGCUUUAAAGUAUGGCAAAUGGCACCACAAUCAACAUUUAAAGAUGGCUCUAAAAGAAAUUAAGAUAUCUGGAUUAUUGCUUUGGCUUCACAGUAAUCAAUCAUUUGAAAUUGACAUAGAAAGAAGUUAAGAUAUCUGGAUUAAAACUGCAAAAUAUGUUUAUCUGCAAGCCAUGUUUAUAAAGGCUUAAUCGGAAUCGAUUUUAACUAAUGACUAAUAAAUCUGCUGACUUUGGUAUAAUAAACAAGGUGAUGAAACCCCAACACCACCACCUUGGGUUUAUUUGCUUUGUGAUUCAUUCGAGCUGUUUUGGUAUUCGACGGAUUGGGAAGAACCACAAAAUGAUUUCUAAAAAUAAAACUGAUGUAUCUUAUCGAUGAAUAAAAAUGCAAAGAUUUUAUUUAAUAUAACGUGA